GCUUCUAAAGGAUAAUAGUCCAUCCAUGUCUAGACCGAAUCCUGCGAUAGGGACUCCAGUAGUAGCU
rnacentral:tRNA from 1 species